UCAAGCUAGGGUUAGAGAAAACUCACCGAUUGCGAAGGAAGCUCUCUCGAUCUCCAAACGGGAGUUAGAGUCCUUCCAAUCUAACCUAAACAAAGGUUCUAAACCCAUCAAUUUGGUACAAAAGCCCUCAAAACGAAAAUCCCCAAAUCUAACCCUAAAAUGCCAAAUCUAGGGUUUGAUCUAGUAAAAUCCAACAAAAUCCGAAUCUAGAGGAGAGAAAUUGCUACUAACCUCUUAGAAGCUCCAAACCAAGCUCCAAAGUCCUCUAGGGUUGAAGGUUGAUCCUCAAACAAGCUCCAACCAAGAUCUCACACUUCUCCAAUGGUGGAAAACCCACAAAAAGCAAGAAGGAGAAGAGAAAAGAGAUCAAAACUAGCAAAAACCCAACAAAAAUGAAGAAGAAACCAAAGGGGAGGAGUUCUCACCUUAUCUUCUCUGUUCUAGGGCUCAAAAGAGCAGCCAUGAGGGCUGGGGUGACUUAUAUAGGCGUUGCAACAAUUGCAAAAACACCCCUCUACGAAACAGUCAAAAUCUGCACUGCGUACCGGUACACGGGUUUGUGUACCGGUACACUGCCCACGAAAUGCCAAACCCGAGCCUCGGGUUCGCUGGGAAAUGCUCUGUGUACCGGUACACAACCACGUACCGGUACAGCCAUCAACCCCGUACCGGUACAGCAAGCGAACCCGUACCGGUACACGGCCUGCUGAAGGCCACCCGAGAGCUGACCAAAAAUCCAACUUUUUGGAUUUUGGUACACAGCUUUAAACCACAAUUCUCGGGACUCGAACCAUAGGUCGGAACACUGUCAACGACCUACCAGAAAGUCUGGAAAAGCUCGACACACAAAUCAAACACUCGAACCUCGCAAUUUGCAAAGGUCCAGUGUGUUACAUUCACCCCUCCUAAAAAGGAGUUUCGUCCGCGAAACUCGAAAGCAAACGUCAUACCUCAAGACUCCAUCUGAAAAAGAUGGGGAUAGCGCUCCUGCAGCGCACUCUCUAGCUCCCACGUGGCCUCGCGCUCCGCGUGGUUGCUCCAAAGAACCUUCACAUACGGAAUAUCCCGAUUCCGCAGCUUUUUCACCUCGCGAGCCAAAAUCUUCACGGGUUGCUCCUCGAAGCUCAAAUCCUCGCGCAGCUCCACUGGUAUAAUAUCCAAAACAUGAGCUGGAUCAUGAAUGUACCUCCGAAGGACCGAUACAUGAAAGACGUUGUGCACGCCCGAUAGGUUCGGUGGUAGAGCAAGUCGAUACGCUACCGGACCUACACGCUCCAAGAUCUCAUACGGUCCAAUGAAACGGGGGCUCAACUUUCCCCGAAUCCCGAAUCUCUUGAUUCCUCUAGUCGGCGAGACCUUCAAGAAAACAUGGUCUCCAACUUGGAACUCCAAGUCUCGCCGUCGUCGAUCGGCGUAGCUCCUCUGUCUACUCUGCGCCGUCAAAAGUCGCUCCCGAGCAAUUCGAACCUUGUCCUCAGCUUCCUGGAGCACAUCAGGGCCUAAAGCCAAACUCUCGCCAACUUCGCUCCAAUGAAGUGGCGAUCUACACUUCCGUCCAUAAAGUGCUUCGAAGGGCGCCAUCUUGAUGCUUGCUUGAUAACUGUUGUUAUAAGCAAACUCCGCCAUAGGUAGAUGCUGCGACCAUCCUCCCUGGAAGUCUAUCACACAUGCCCGGAGCAUAUCCUCUAAGGUCUGAAUAGUGCGCUCCGACUAUACAUCACUCUGCGGGUGGAAUGCUGUACUGAAAUCCAAUCGGGUGCCUAGGGCGUCCUGUAGACUCCUCCAAAAGUGAGACACAAACCGGGUGUCCCGAUCUGAUACUAUCGAUGUAGGCACUCCAUGAAGUCGCACAAUCUCAUCAAGGUACACUUGUGCGAGCUUCUCUCCGGUCCAAGUCGUAUGAAUAGGUAUGAAGUGCGCCGACUUCGUCAACCUAUCCACGAUCACCCAAAUAGCGUCAUGCCCCGCCUGUGAGCGUGGCAAUCCUGUCACAAAGUCCAUGGUGAUCUUCUCCCAUUUCCACACUGGAAUAGGCAAACUCUGAAGUUUUCCCGCGGGAACUCGGUGCUCUGCAUUCACUUGUUGGCAAGUUAAGCAUCUAGCGACAAACUCGCCAACAUCCUUUUUCAUCCCGGGCCACCAAUAGAGCAACUUUAAGUCCUUAUACAUUUUGGUGCCUCCCGGAUGUAUAGCAUACGGCGCUCGGUGCGCUUCUUGAAGAAUAUCUUCUUUAAUCCCCGAAUCCGCGGGUAUACAAAUCUAUCCACGGAAACGCAUCAAUCCCUGAUCGUCCAAAAGGAAAUCGCCGGUGCAACCAUCAACCAUUUUACCUCGAAUCUUUUGCAACUCCACAUCGGAAGCUUGCUUUUCUUUAAUUCUAUCCAACAAUGUAGGUUGCACCACCGAUGUCAACAACCUCAUAGGCGUGUUAGGAGUCACUAUCUCCAACUCCAACCGCUUCAUCUGCUCGAUCAACUACGGUUGAGUCACAGCAUGCAUCGCUAAGUUUUCCAUCGAUUUCUUACUUAGCGCAUCCGCCACCACGUUAGCCUUGCCCGGGUAGUAAAGAAUCGUCAGAUCAUAAUCUUUGAGUAGCUCCAACCAUCUACGCUGCCUCAAGUUCAACUCCUUCUGAGUAAAUAGGUACUUUAAGCUCUUGUGAUCCGUGUAUACUUCACACCGCUCGCCAUAAAGAUAGUGGCGCCAUAGCUUCAAUGCGAACACUACGGCCGCCAACUCCAAAUCAUGCGUCGGGUAGUUCUUUUCAUAUUCCUUUAGUUGGCGAGAAGCAUACGCGAUCACCUUGCCAUCCUGCAUCAUUACACAGCACAAUCCGUUAAGUGAAGCAUCACUAUAAACCACAUACCUUACUCCAGCUACUGGUAGGGUCAAGAUCGGGGCGGUAGUCAAUCGUUGCUUCAACUCUUGGAAGCUUCGCUCGCACGCGUCAUUCCAAAUGAACUUGACUCCUUUAUGCGUGAGCCUCGUGAGGGGAGUAGAUAACCUUGCAAAUCCCUCAACGAAUCUCCGGUAGUAACCGGCCAACCCAAGGAAGCUCCGUAUCUCUGUGACGCUCGUCGGUCUCGGCCAAUCCUUGAUUGCUUCAAUCUUCUUGGGAUCCACGGCUAUACCCGAUCCCGAAAUCAAAUGUCCAAGGAAAGCUACCUCUCGAAGCCAAAAUUCACAUUCUUUAACUUGGCAUAAAGCUCCUUUUCCCGAAAUACUUGGAGUACAAUCCUCAAAUGCUCCUCGUGAUCUGCAUCACUUCGAGAGUAGACCAAAAUGUCGUCGAUGAACACCAUGACGAACCUGUCUAGAUAAGGCUUGAAAACAUGGUUCAUUAGAUCCAUAAAAGCUAUCGGGGCAUUAGUCAGCCCAAACGGCAUAACUUUGAACUCAUAGUGUCCAUACCGUGUUCUAAAAGCCGUCUUCGAUACAUCCUCGGGCUUGAUCUUCAAUUGGUGGUAUCCCGACUGCAAGUCUAUCUUGGAAUACACGCAUGAUCCCUGAAGCUGAUCAAACAAGUCGUCGAUUUUCGGCAACGGAUACUUGUUCUUGAUCGUGACCUUAUUAAGUUCACGAUAAUCCACGCAAAGGCGAAGUGAUCCGUCUUUCUUCUUGACGAACAUAACUGGUGCUCCCCAAGGUGAAACGCUCGGUCGAAUGAAGCCUCUGUCAAACAAAUCCUGCAACUGUGCCCUCAGCUCCCUCAGCUCUGCCGGUGCCAUCCUAUAGGGUGCCUUUGAGAUUGGGGUAGUCCCAGGGACGAGAUCUACCACAAACUCAAUCUCCCUAUCAGGAGGCAUACGGGGGGAAGAGAUCUAUCGCAUCCCCGUCAAAAACAACCCCAAAUCAUGCGAAAGUAAAGAAGUGUUCUACAUACUAACUCCGAUGUUACGUUGUCAGCCGCCAACAGUAACUUCCGGGAAGUUAAAGCCAAAACACUCAAUCAACUCUAACUUUUUAGGGUUAUCAUAAUACCCAAUCAUGAUACUUCGCUCACAAGAUCGAAUAGACCUCGUCUCUCCGAGCUAUUUCCUAUAGUCCAACCGGCCUAAGUUUGCUAGGUCCACUAGGACUCAACCCUAGGCUCUGAUACAAUUUAAUCUGUCAGCCCGACCCAGCGGAACGCCGCGGCACGUGCCAGACGCCGUCAUACGUCUAAAAAACUAUAAAGCUCUAAAACAGACGAUAAUAAAAGCAGUAAUAAAAGCAUCUAGGAGUAUCAGAGCAUAUAAAUGUCUAAUGAUACAAGAAAUUCCAGAUACAAAUGCUAUAGGUAGAUCAUAGGUGGUCUCUAUACAUGGAUACAAAACUCUCACCUCACAACUACAAAAAGAAAUGUAAACACCUAGGCAAGUAUGUACCGCUUCGCUAGUAGCUAAGCGAUCCAUUGCGCGAUCCCGUGCUCCGCCGGUGCCGAAGGCUCUGAAAGUAAACUAUAAAACGGGGGCGUGAGAACUAUUAAAUAGUUCCAGUGGGCAAUUACUGAUUUCAGUGAAUGCACCACAAGGCCAAAGCACAAAAGAUUCAGUGACUAUAAAUAGUAAAACGAAGAUAAGUAAAAAUGCAACUACUAGCAACAUGAUAUCUCUACUUAGCAUAAAUAGCAUAAUUAUGAAGCAACUAUGCAUGGAGUAAAAGUCUCCAGCUAUAUAACGUUCACAUGCGAAAUAGUAAGUUCCGUUGUUUACUAUUCUAUGUCAAUGUCCAAGUAUACACUAAGUCAACAUCUGUCCACAUGUCAUAAUGAAUACUCAAAGUCAAAUCUGAAGAGACCCACCGAAGGCUGUCUAUGGCCCUGUGACCUACAGUAGGCUGUCUGGCCGGUGCGAGCCAUGGCCCGUUGUAGUCAUCAUCCACCCUAGAAUGAGCCUGGCCCAGCGCAAUCCACUCUGGCGCCCAUCCCGCACGGGAAUAUGAGGCAUGGCUAUCUCCGGAGUCCGACUGUGUAGGGAGCGACCCUCACAAGCAUGUGCGAAUGAGCACAAUGGCAAAUAGUCAAACGAUCUGUCGCAAUACAAGUCCUCAUGUCUAAUAACAUGGAAUGUGUCAAGUAUCCUAAUGGCCUAUCCCUAUGUCAUCAUGUCUCUAACAUGAGAUUAGCGAGAUAUGUAGUGGCCUAUCAAUAUGUCUCUAUGUUGCAUUUCAUAGUUUACUAUUUCAAGUGCCCUUUAUGAACUACUUGUUCUCUAUGUUGAAGCAUGGCAAUAUGUUCCAAAGUACAUAUUCUCAUAAGAGAUGUAUAUUUCCAUUGCAAAAUAAACACUUUUCCGUAUGCAUCAUUCAACCAUAUAGCUCUACUAUAUAUGAAAUUUUCAUAUACACAAGCAUGCAUUUAAGUGUUCUAAAAUUCAUAUAAUUUCCAUUUAGCAUAGAAUGAAUUUAAAAAUAUUACAACAAGUAGAAAGAGCAUAGGGGCAUUUCGCCCCAUUUCCACGNNNNNNNNNNNNNNNNNNNNNNNNNUACUCGGAUAGCUCAGCUGAAAACACUAUCCUGGAACUCUCGCAUCCACCGGAUAUCCUUGAUCUCAGGGGUUCAUCCUCGUCCCUCACCAACACUGAAGCUAAGUAGGGAGAACACAGCCCUGCUGAUCAGCUGCCGUAAUCUCGAGACGAGCGUGGAUCGUCAUCGCGCAACAAGGAACUCCAGGCAUUCCACUAAAACCACUAUGUGUCCCGCGUUGCUCUAAAAGUAAACGUGCCGAUUCUUGCAUCAAUCGUGGCAUGAUACUUGUGUCAACCAAUCCAUGCGCAAGACACAUUAAAUCCCCAGCUUGCGCAAGCUAGCCAAUCUAUAGGGCAUGAUCCAAUUCUCCCCGAAUAGGGCAACUAGGGCUAAUACUCUCAUAUAUCGCAUAAGCGUGGUCGGGAUACAACACAUGUCCCGUAUCAACAAAGAACCCAAAGAUGCAUGCAACUCGGGCCAAAAGCAUCUAUGAAUGAAUGCGAUGCACACGUUAUCACAUAAAGCCAACGAAUCUAUAUGCCAUCAGUAAAAUAGAUACACUCAACCACAUCCUCGUGCUUGCCGCUCCUCAGUCUGAGCAGGGUACAUCGCCAUCUGCGGGCCUGUCGACGAUCCCCUCGCUUCUGGCUGGAGCGGUGGCCGCCCAGCGCUGUACCUGUGUCGACGGGUCCGUGGCUGGUACGACUAGAGUGCCGGUGCCGAUUGCCGUCUUGACGGUGCGGUGAAGAAACUCCGGCACUCGGCACGACGUGGCCCUCCUGGCCACACUGGAGCACCUGACACCGCCCGCAGUGGACACUGCGGUGCGGUAAUGGGGGCACCGCAACACUACACGGGGAAGCCGGCGCAUGGAUCGGACUCCUCGCUGUCUGCUUCUGAGCGAGUCCUACUGCUUGGAGCUGCUCCUCGGAAUGCUUCGGCGGACUCCUAGAGUGCGUCGCUCGCAUCUCAGCCGCAGGGCCUCUUGGCCUUACAUACUUGUCCUAGCCUUCGCUUCCUGGACGUCGUGUUCGCCGCGCUCUCCACAUGAGCGCAGAUCCACACAGCUCCGGUAGGGUUUGGAGGUUAAAGGAUGCACAAACCGAGAUGACGGCUCGGCAACCUCGCUCGAAGAAUGGGGCUUGUCUCGUCGUUCCCGCCACAGCGAAGGCCACGCAAUGCAGAACUAGAAAACUCCAUCUCGUACGCGGCUACGUCCCUGUCACCCGCGCGCAAGUGCGCAUCAUGCUCAUCUUCCGUCUUGACCGUCGGUCGGUGAAAGUAGUGCGUCAAGAACAAUCCUUGAACCUCGUCAUAGUAUAGUGCCAAAAUCUUCGUGCGGGGUUUCCUGAGACAGCAACCACGGGUAGGCUCGCCGUCCAGAUGUCGUGAGUGCGCUGAGCCUAACUCUGUCCUUCCUCCCAACGAAUGGUGUCGCGGAAGAGCUUCUCCAAUACAUCAACCACUUCUCCACGAUCCCAGUGGUCUAAGACCUUCUUCGCGCGCGAAGACUCGGGGGCUGCUACCUCCGAACCAUUGAGGCGCUCCAUCAGUCUAUCAUGCUACGACCCCUCCAAACCCAAGUAGGGCAAAGCUUGCGUCGCAACCUGGGGCCUCUGUACAGGCGGUGCCCUACCUUAAACCUCUCUGCGGGUGCGCGGCCUGGCAGGCCGCAUCGAAAACUGGCAGCGGCGGGGACGGCGCUCUCGGUUGCAACGUCCACAAGGUGCUGGCGGCUGUAUGGGCCUGAGUCGUCCUGGAAGCUGCCGCCUGCGUGGCAAUAGUAGAUCUCAGACGCUUAUCGCGCUUCUGUCGGCGGCCGCCUCGGUCUCUUGGGCCGCUCCUGCCUGCCUGAGUGACACAUCAGUGGGGCGCGCAAGGCUGCCCUCAACUCACAGACCUCGUUAGAUCCGGACGGUAGGGAAGUCGUCGACCUCCUCGAAGUUUGCCGCAUUGUCCGCGCCAGGCACGAUGUGGGAGCCGAUAAUCGGCAUCAGGUCAUACAACAUCAUCAAAGAACAAGUUGAUAAUACUCACGCAUCGCAUUCCCCGCUCAAAGAAGACAACCCCAAAAUCAUGCAAGUCAAGAGUGUUCUACACUACUAACUCCACGAUGUUACGUGUAGCGCCAACCGUAACCUUCCGGGAAUUAAGCCAAAACACUCAAUCAACUCUAACUUUUUAGGGUUUAUCAUAAUACCCAAUCAUGAUACUUUCGCUCACACAAUGAAUAGACCUGUCUCUCACAGCCUAUUUCCUAUAGUCCGAUCCGCUAUGCGUUUGCUAGGUCCACUAAGACUCAACCCUAGGCUCUGAUACAAUUUAAUCUGUCAGCCGGACGCCAGCGGAAGCCCGCCGGCAGUGCCCAGACCGCGCACUAUACGUCUAAACAUUAAGCGUCUAAAAACAACGAUAAUAAAAGCAUAAUAAAAGGCAUUAGGAGCUACAGCAGCAUAUAAUGUUCCUAAUGUACAAGAAAUUCCAGAUACAAUGCUAAGGUAGAUCAUAGGUCGUCUCUAUACAUGGAUACAAAACUCUCACUACUCACUACAAAAGAAAUAGUAAACCACCCUAGCAAAGUAUCGCUCUCGCUUAGUAGCCCUACGAUCCAUUGCGCGAUCGCUCGUGCCUCGCCGGUGCCGAAGGCUUCUGAAGUAACUUAUAAACCGGGGGCGUGAGAACUAUUAAUUAUAGUCCAUGGCUAUUACUGAUUUCAGUGAUAUGCCCACAAGGCCAAAGCUACAAAAAGAUGUAAUGCUAUAAAUGUAGAAAUGGCGAAAGAUAAGUAAAACAUGCAACUACUAACAACAUGCACUAUCUCUACUUAAGCGAUAAAAGCAUAAGUAUGAAAGCAACUACAUGCAUGAGUAAAAGUCCUCAGCUUACAUUACGUCACAAUGCGAAAUAGUAAGUCUCCGUUGUUUUACUAUUCUAUGUCAAUGUCAAUGUAUACACCUAAGUCAACAUCUGUCCAAUGUCAUAAUGAAUACUCAAAGUCAAAUCUGAGAGACCCACCGAGCGUGCUAUGGCCUCUGGUGACCUACUCAGUAGGCUGUCUGGCCGGUGAGCGAGCUAAUGGCCGUGAGAGUCAUCAUCCCACCCUAGAUGAAUCCUGGCCACGGCAAUACCACUUCGGCGCCAAUAUCCGCACGGGCGAAUAUGAUGACGCAUUGGCUAUCACCGGAGCUUGCCACUCUGUAGGAGCGACCCUCACAAGCAUGUGCGAAUGAGCACAAUGGCCAAAGUAGUCAAACGAUCUGUCGCAUACCAAGUCCUCAUUGUCUAAUAACAUGGAAUGUGUAAGUCAUUUAAUGGCCUAUCCUAUGUCAUCAUCUCUCUAACAUGGCUAAUAUAGCAGAUAUGUAGUGGCUAUCAUAUGUCUCUAUGUUGCAGUUUAAUAGUUUAACAGUUCACAGUGCCCCUUAUGAACACUGCUGUUCUCUAUUGUUGAAGCAUGGUCAACAUGUCCAAAGUACAUAUUCCUCAUAGUAGAUUGUAUUUUCCAUUGCAAAAUAAACACUUUUUCCGUAUGCAUGCAUUCACUCUAUAGCUCUACUAUAUAGUGAAAUUUCAUAUACACAAGGAAUGCAUUUAAGUGUUCUUAAAAUUCAUAUAAAUUCCAUUUGAGCAUAGAAUGAAUUUAAAAUAUAUUUCAACAAGUAGAAAGAGCAUAGGGCCAUUUCGCCCCAUUUCCACGAAAGUCAAACCCACCGAUGACAACGAAACUCUCGUGCGCUCCCCGAGGUGUCCUCUAGUCUCGCUAGUAGCCUAGAGGUUAUAAAAGACAGUUUAGCGAGCCAAAACAUAGUACGUAGCUCAAUCAUAAGCUUCUCAAGCUAGGGUUAGGGAAAACUGCACCGCUGCGAAGGAAGCCUCUCGAUCUCAACGGAGUGUUAGAGAUCCUUGCCAAUUAACCUAAACAAGGUUCUAAAUCCAUCAUUUGUUCCAAAGCCUCAAAAAAUCCCCAUUUUGGCCCUAAUAUCCAAAAUCUAGGUUUCCGUCAAAAAAAAGAAUUCAUUACAAAUAGAGUCUAAAGGAAAGGAUCUAUUACUAACCUCUCUAGAAGCCUCAAACCAGCCUUCCAGAAGCUCUCUAGGUGAAGUUGAUCCUCAACAGCUCCAACCAAGUCCCAACGCUUCUCCAAUGUGGAAAACCCACUAAAGCAAGAAGAGAAGGAGAAAGUAGAUUAAAACCACAAAGAAAACCAUCAAAAUGGAGAAGAAUGCAAGGGAAGGAGUCUUCAUCAUUUCUCCACUGGUCUUGAGGCUCAAACGAGUACAAGGGGAGUUGGGGUAGAUAUAGGUGUUGUAACAUAUGCAAAAUCACCCUCCACGAAACGCCCCAAUACUGCAACGUUUGUACCGCGGUACACGGUUUGUUACGUACACCAACCACAUGAAUGCGCAAACCCGGCUCCGGGUUGCUCAAAUCGUCUGUGUACGGUCACGGUCCUGUAACCGGACAGCAUCAUGCGUACCGGUACAGCACAAGCGUAGCCGUAACACACCCUGAACCGCUACCGCGAGAGCAUGUACCAAAAAAUCCAAACUUUUUGGAUUUUGGUACACCGGCUUUAAACCACAUCUUUGGACUCGAUCCACUAGGUCGGACACUUGUCAACGACCCAGCAAAGUCUGCGAAAAGUCAGAACACAAUUAAUCACUCGAAACCCACAAUUUGCAUGGUCCAAAGUGCGUCACAUUAGGCCUAUCCAUACUCUUGGGAAUGUGUCAUUGUUCCCACCGACCCGUAGGAUUUCAAUUACGCAACGAGCGAAUCAUAAAGUCGCGUAGGCAACUCCGGAGUGCGGCUAUGUAGGCGGAGCGACCUCACAGAUGUGCCGAAUGAGCGCCAAAUGGCAGCAGCAUAGUCAAGUCUCAAGUUAUCCAAUGUCUGUCAUCUAACGAUUAUCGCUCACUAGCCUCCCGAAGAUUAGUUUAAGUCACAAAGGCGAAAUUUCCAAACACUCACUAACCUAGUGCGCCUUUCUUGAUAUGAAACUUAGCGCAAUUUGAUGAUUCAACAUAAGCAAGCUCCCGCAAUGGCUUAACCACUAAGUUCAACAUGUCCCGCAGGCUCGAUGCGACCCUUGAUCGAAGUUAGCUCUCUAAUUCGCAUACAUGUUUCUAGUUAAAUACCUCUAUACUGGCACCAGAUCUUGUCAUUCUUUCAGUGUUCAUAAUUAAAUCUUAAGUGUUAAAAUCUGAAUGAAUCAAGGCUCAUUAUAUUGCUUAGAAGUAUGGUACAAAGUCUGUAUAUGAAUGCCAAGGCAAAAACCAAAAGCUCUCUCAAGCAACUUCAUAAACAUAGAGGUCCUAAAAUCUUACGUAUAUGCCAAUAUAGAGGAUUUUUAGCAUUCUAAAAUUUCACAAUAAAUAUACAGUAUAACACGAAUAUGCAUGCCUUUGUCAAUUAACGCAUGAAUUAAGUUCAUCACAAAUGAGAAUUUCUCGAUUUGUGUGGCUAGGUCAAACCAGCGAACCGGUCGCGUAGUCCUCGAUUUCGCCCGAAACGAGCUUGCCGGCUCAAAUACCCUAAACAUAAUUGAAGCGAAAGAAGAAGCAGAUUAACGGGCAUUACGGUCAACUAUAAGAUCAAACUUUAAACCAAAUUUAGCAACAAGCGGACUAAAACUCAUCCUAAUGUGAGAAAUCUUCUCUCAAGGGGCUUCCAAAAGAGGGGGCUAAACCCUGUCCAUCCAAAGCAAAGUGAACGGUUCCUAAUCACAACAAUUUAGCUCAAACAGCUAAUUCAAAUUGACCCAAAAAUAAAACCCUAAACUCAUCUAGGUUUCAUCUCAAAGAACCUCCACAAAUUCAACAAGAAAGUUCUAAGAGGAAAGAUCUUGCCACUUAACUCUUAGAAGCCUCCAACCCAAGCUCAAAAGUUCUUCAACUUCAAGCCGAUCUGUUCCCUCAACUUUGCCUCCCCCAAAAAACCACAAGCUCCCAACUCCAACCGAGGGUGAGGAAGUCUCUAUCCAGCAAAAGGGAGCUUGAUCUUGUAAAACAAAGCAAAAAUCAAGUAAAACGGACAUAUGGGUGUGGAGCUCCCUUACCUUCUCCUUUAUUUUUUGGCCUGGUGGCCCAACAGGCUCAGCAGGGAGGCCUAGGUGUGUGGGGGAAUACAUAUAGAAGGUUUCCACAUACGGCGAAAAAAAAACUUCCCCUGCAGUUGUCAACUGCUCAGAAUUUCACUGGCUACCGGUAGCACGGGCCGGUACCGAGUACACAACCACACAAUUGCAAAACCCGAGCUCGGUUCGCGGGGGAAAAUGCCUGUGUACCUGUCACCAUCCGUACCGGUACACCAUCAACCUAUGUAGCCAGUAUAGCAUCACGCCUGCUACCGGUCACACGCGCCUGGUAAAGGCCUACCGCGAACUGAACCAAAUAAUCGACUCUUUUGGGUUUUUGUGCCUAGGCUUUUACAACCUCCUUUUCAGGAUGCGGCCAAGGUCGGUACACUGUCAUGCUACAGAAAGGUCUGGAAUUGCUCCGCACACACACCCACUCGAACCCUCAUAAUUUGCGGCAAGAUCCAGUGUGUUUACCCUUCCGGCUUUUGGGGGAGCCCCCCGGGCGUUGGGACAGGUUCUCACCAGUCGGGGAGACCGCGUCCCGAACCCCGAACAAGCUGCCCAAGCUCAGGCGUUAAUAAAGUGAAAGCUGGGGGUUUAUUUUUCAAUUUCGAUGUAACACAAAUGGGUUUACGUGAGGGGGUUAUGAGCUGUUUUCUCUCAUGUCUCUUCCCUCUCACAACUCCUCUCAUCUCUCUUUCUCUUUUUAGAAGACAAGAAGCGAGAGUAGAAAAAAGUCUUCUCUCUAUUAAGUCAAACCCACCGAUGACAACGAAACUCCUCGUGCGCUCCCACGAGGGUGUCCUCUAGUCUCCUAGUACCCUAGAGGUAUAAAAACAUGUGUCAUACGAGCCAAACGAACAAUACCUAGCUCAAUCAUUAAGCUUCUCAAGCUAGGGUUAGGGAAAACUCACCGAUUGCGAAGGAAGCUCUCUCGAUCUCCAAACGGGAGUUAGAGUCCUUCCAAUCUAACCUAAACAAAGGUUCUAAAUCCAUCAAUUUGGUUCCAAAGCCCUCAAAUCAAAAAUCCCCAUUUUUGGCCCUAAUAUGCCAAAUCUAGGGUUUCCGUCAAAAGAAUCACUACAAACUAGAUCUAAAGGAAAGGAUCUAGUUACUAACCUCUUAGAAGCUUCAAACCAAGCUCCAAAGCUCUCUAGGGUUGAAGGUUGAUCCUCAAACAAGCUCCAACCAAGGUCCCAAGCUUCUCCAAUGGUGGAAAACCCACUAAAGCAAGAAGGAGAAGGAGAAAGAGAUUAAAACCCACAAAGAAAACCAUCAAAAAUGGAGAAGAAUCCAAAGGGAAGGAGUUCUCACAUGUUCUCCACUGGUCUAGGGCUCAAAAGAGCUCACAAGGGGGUUGGGGUAGUAAUAUAGGUGUUGUAACAAUUGCAAAAUCACCCCUCCACGAAACAGCCCCAAUCUGCACUGUGUACCGGUACACGGGUUUGUGUACCGGUACACAACCCACGAAUGGCCAAACCCGAGCCUCGGGUUUGCCUCAAAAUCGUCUGUGUACCGGUACGCGGUCCCGUACCGGUACAGCCAUCAAUCCCGUACCGGUACAGCCACCAAGCCCGUACCGGUACACAACCUGCUGAAGGCUACCCGAGAGCUGACCAAAAAUCCAACUUUUUGGAUUUUGGUACACCGCUUUAAACCACAAU
rnacentral:lncRNA from 1 species